AAAAAGGUGAAAAGGUAAGUAAAAUACACAUGAAAUUAUACAAGUGGAUGCCUAUCCUCUCAAAAUUAUCAAAACCAGACUGAUGGCCGCAGUUAAGGAUCUUGAUUCAUAGGUACAAGUUGUUUCAAAUGUUAUUUUCAGAAACACAGUAUUGGCAGAUAUUUUGAAGCCUAAAUAUGUGCAAAUAAGUGUAUCAAACUAAAAAAAAGAAAAAAAGAAAGAAGGGAUUUUAAGUCGCGAAUAUAUAAAAAUUUGUGCACGUGUCAGGACUUCAAUAAGAAUAAAUUAGACCCAUGUAUGAAGCAACAUGUUGAAUCUCAUUCCUAGCCCUAUGAUAUGAUGCCUAAUUCCUAAACUAGCCACAAAGCUGGGGAGAGAGGGAAAUUAAAAAUAAAAAAAGAAAGUGGAAGGUGAAGAAAUGAAAAGAUACAACCAACUAUAACCACAGCCACACUCAUUUCAUUGGCUCUACUUCUUGUCUUCAAUAUACAUUUUUAUUAUCCUAUCUUGCACCCAACUCCUAACCCUUCUAGAAGCCCUAACAAUCUAAUUAAUAUUUUGCAUGUUGGUGCACCAAUAGAAUAAAAGUAUUUAUGCUCUACAGUCUAAACUAAAACCUGCCAAAUCCCAACCACAAAUUAACUUAAUUUUGAAAACAUAAGAUAUUUCAUAUUUCCUUACCAAAACAAUAUUCCCACUUAGUUGAUUCUAAAGUACUUUUAAAACCCGCUUUCCCUUUACAAUUUUAUGCAUGUUAUUUUUCACAAUUUUCUCGUCGCACUUUAACUUAAGAAAUUAAAACAAAAUUAAUUAUUUUGAUUCAUGCAUUUUCGUGUAUACGAGAAAUUAAAGCAAGAAGGAUUAUGGGCGAUUCAGGUAUGCAUCGUACAUCAGGUUGGGAAGAUUUUGGAUUCUAUUGAAGUGGGAAGGUAGAGAUGGCACCUUGUCUUUUAUUGCUCUACUUUAAUUUAAUACCUUACUUUGCACCUAACUAAAGUUUACCACCUUACUUAUUCA
rnacentral:lncRNA from 1 species